CUGGGGAUGUAGCUGGGUUGGUGUAGUGUUUGCCUGGUAUACAUGAAGUCUUGGGGUCAAUACACAGCACUGCAUAAAAGUGGCAUGGGCCACGUACAGCUGUGAUCUCAGCAUUUAGGAAGUGGAGGCGAGAACCGGAAGUUCAAAGUUAUCCUUGACUACACAGUUCUUACUGUUGUCUCAGAAAAUAGCAGAAUGGAAGCAGGCAGGAGAAAGACUAAUGCUGCUGCAUCUGUUGGCCCCAAGCAGAGGAGCCUGGUGUCAGCCACAAAGCCGUGGAUUGGUUUUCAGAAGAGUGGGAGCCAAAGCACGCUCCUGGGUGGCAGAUGACGUAAUGGAGAGAUGUUUCAGGAAGGCUGGACUAGAAGGAUCUAAGAAAUAGGCUGGCAGGAGGGACCUUGUGACUAUAGUAAUGAGGACAGAUUUGGAGGAAGGAGGUAGUCAGGUAAGGGCAAAAAGAAUGCUCUUUUAGAAACAUUCAGAGAUAAAGAAUGGGGAAUUGGUGGCUGGUAAAAAAUGGGAAGAAGAGGGACCAAGAUGUUACCUAGGACUCCAAGGUGCCUCGCUUUGGUGAGGGGCAGUGACAAUGUCAGACAUUUGCCCAGUGGGGAGCUCAGGGAGUGGUACGAAGACAGGGCUGCUGAGGACUGAACAUGUCUUUCCAUGUUGCUCAAAGUCAUCCUAACAAAGACACAGACCCAGGUCUUAGCAGGUCCCAGGCCUGUAAUCUCCAGGAAGAAGCACUGGGCUGUGAGUCAGGCCCAGGUGGAAGAGACUCGUCACACAGUCCAGCACCUGAGUGGCAUCGCCGUGAACUCCUGACCCUAGUGUUAGCUGACUUUAAGGAUGCCCAUUGCUCUGAGGGAAAGGAGCCAAGAGGAAGAGGACCUGGAAGCUGGUGUGGUCCCUGUGUGCAGCAGGGACAGGUGACACGACCCUGGCUCUGCUCCUAAUAAAACACUCCGAGGACACCUGAGAGCUAGCGGUAGGGUGGAACUUUUUAUUUGAAGCAAGUAAUAGCAUGGCCCCCAGGUACCCCAGGGCAUCGGGCCACAAGAAAUCCUCUCAAUCUGGCCAUUUCCUGCUUCUGGGCUGCUGUUCCCAGUGGACAGCAGAGGGCAGCAGAAGCCUGGUUCCCAGGUUCUUCCUGUCACCCACAUCCAGCCUCCACCGAGCCAGGCUUCCAGGGGCAUCCCCACGGGAUGGAGAGGUGCCAGGGACCCCAACACGUUCCUGACACUCACACAAGUGCCUCAGGUGCUUUCGGGCAUCUUGCGUUGGCCAGAUUUUAUGUCCACCCAAGGAGCAGUCUCAGUUCAGGGACCACAUCCCAAAGAGAGAGGAGACAGCCCAGUCUUGAAAAAGCAAUAGCUACCCCGAGAGAGCUUUUCCACCUUUGUCCAGGUGGGCUGCGACUGAGUCGUGGAAGGAAAC